rnacentral:rRNA from 1 species
CACGUAGGAGGCAAACGUUAUCCGGAUUUACUGGGCGUAAAGCGCGUGUAGGUGGUUUUGUAAGUAGGGCGUGAAAGCUCCCGGCUCAACUGGGAGAGGCCGUUCUAAACUGCAGAACUAGAGGAUGGUAGAGGGAGGUGGAAUUCCAGGUGUAGCUGUGGAAUGCGCAGAUAUCUGGAGGAACACCAGUGGCGAAAGCGGCCUCCUGGACCAUUCCUGACACUCAGGCACGAAGGCGUGGGGAUCAAACAGGAUUAGAUACCCCUGUAGU